UUGCCUUGAAGCACUGGAUCUUGCCCGUGACCCUGAGGGUGACACGAAAGGGUUCUCCCCAUGACCCAAUUCGCCCACAGAGAAGACGAUCUGAAAGAUUCUUGAUGUGCCUGAAAUAUGCCUGAGCAGCUGGAAACAUCCUCGAGUAAUAUUUACCCAAUUCUUGUCACCUUCAGACGGCACAGCAUCGUAGAGCACUGUCCAAACACAGAGGCGGUAUUUGUCUCACCGUUCUGGAAGCCUGGGUUCGGCAACCGUGUUCUGGCCCGUAAGAAUCAGAGUAGAGGCUUUGACGCUGGUCCCCUGGCCCCUGCGGCUCAGGGGCUCAGCAAUUCCACCCACCGCACGCCUCCCCGUUCCCGGGACGGUGUUCAAGGACAGCUUCGGAGGACGCUGUGGAAUGAGAGUUACUGACACAAAAGAGGAAAUGGGUCACCUGGAGCCCUGGCCUCCUGCUUAGCGAGGUCCUCACUGCCGCCCGACGCAGGAGCCUGGGAACCCACUUCCAAGGCCGCCUCUCGUCUGAACGUCACACAUCUGUCUUGGAGCUGCCUCACCACUGUCAACCAUAAAAAUAAAACGGCCAGUUAUGUAACCAGCAAAAAUGAGAUUAUUCAGGAAUAGCAGAGAAACUGCAAUUCAGGACGUGCAAACCAUGGCACACCACGGGCACGACCGAGAACAAAGGAGGAGAAUGUCCUCUCGUAGAGGAAAGGAGGGCAUUAGGCGGCGUUGUUCCAAACGAAAGUUCAUUGGAGGAGAGCUAGAGUUCUGGUUGUGACGGCUUCUCAUUGGCUGCCUUGUGGCAGCUUUUCAUUGGCUGAGUUUUGGAGGCUUCUCAUUGGCUGGGUUGUGGAGGCUUCUCAUUGGCUGGGUUGUUGCCAGGCAAGAAGAAAAUCCUUUCUGCCCCCGCUUGUAUGGGACAUUAAGGACAUUUUCCUUGAGCAACCGUCACCACCAUCCACGUCCAGAGUGCUUAGAAAUCACCUGGCGACCUUGCUGAAAGGCAGGUUCUGUGUGUUGCACAAGUGCCAGGUGAUGCAGAUGUCCUGGCCCAGGGGCCACACUUGGAGAAGCAAGGCCCCCUU